rnacentral:misc_RNA from 1 species
GUGAAUCAUCAAAUUUUUGAACGCAAAUUGCACUCUCCGGUUUUCCGGGAGAGUAUGCCUGUUUGAGGGUCAUCCUAAAAAAAAUCGAUAUUGUUGCUUUUAUUUAAUGGUGACUUUCGUCUGAGAUUGGGUUAUCUUAAACCUUUUUUUUUUUUUGGUUUAAGCGAGUAAAAAUUUUUUUUCACGAUUCCAGUAUGGUUUC